GAGAAAUAUACCUUCUUUUGUUCUUCUGGUUAAAAAAAAACCGACCUUUUAUAUUGUUAUAGGGAAAUUAGCAGGAGCAAGAGCAAUGCUGCAAGGCAGAAGCAGGAAGGUUCCAGAACUCUGGAGAAGUGACAGGGUUGUUGCUUCUUCUGAGAGAGACAGUUGAGCAGCCAGGAGGUUGAGUUUCUGUUUAGAUAUUCUCUAUCCUGUGGCUUUCCUUGUGAUCCAACCUGUUCCUGUGUAUCCUGUGGACUGUCUGAGAUAUUCCUGCAGAGCUUCUUGAGACACCUAAGCCAUCUAUAAUUGGCAUUGGGGAGAGUUUAUCUGUUCCAGAUGAAUUCACCAAAGAGGACAAAGUCACUGGCCAGAGGUUUAGACAGGUGUUGACUGGAGCAAUUGUACAACUCCUUGAGAAUGCCUGAAGAUCAUAAUGCAGCUUGCUGAAAGAAAGGGUUUCAUACACAAGGACUUUUUGCUAUUCUACAGCAGUGUUCUGGGAGAUUUUGUCCCUGCAAUGACCAGGAGCUCUUCUUUGAGCUCAAACUUUACCAUCAUCAAAAAUGAAUCUCAAGAGUGAAUUUGAGAAUAUGUUGAAGGAAGCAGGAACCUUUUCCCUUUUAGGAAUGUAAUUAAAAUUGUAUCUGAGACAUAAUUAAAUUCAGUCCACAUGAAAAGGUACUUACUAUAUUAUUAUUAUUGCCUGUGGAAUUUAUUAACAAAUAAUGAUUGCAUUUUUUUAGUCCUUAGGUCUAUUUUCACAAAAACAAAGAACAUGGUUGUUAAUAUAAACAAAAACCGCUUUGUUUUUUCUCUAUAGACAUUUUUGUUAGUAAUGGUCACAGAUGGCUUCUGGAAUAAACCCCUUAUUAGUCAAGAUUACA
rnacentral:lncRNA from 1 species